rnacentral:tRNA from 1 species
UCCCUGGUGGCCUAGUGGUUGAGGACUCAGUGUUGUCAUUGCUGUGGCUCAGGUUCGAUCCCAGGCCUGGGAA